UAAGUAGUCAGUGAAAGCGUUCGGCUCAACCGAAUAAACGUUGUCUAAACUGCUAAGCUUGAGGAUGAGAGAGGUUAUUGGAAUUCCCUGUGUAGGAGUGAAAUCCGUAGAUAUAGGGAGGAACACCGAUGGCGUAGGCAGAUAACUGGCCCAUUCCUGACACUAAGGCACGAAAGCGUGGGGAGCAAACGGGAUUAGAUACCCCGGUAGUCCACGCCGUAAACUAUGGAUGCUA
rnacentral:rRNA from 1 species